UACAGAGGGGGCAAGCGUUAUUCGGAAUUAUUGGGCGUAAAGGGCGCGUAGGCGGCUUGACAAGUGGAAGGUGAAAGCCCUCGGCUUAACCGAGGAACUGCCCUCCAAACUGUUUGGCUUGAGACCGGGAGAGGUGAGUGGAAUUCCCAGUGUAGCGGUGAAAUGCGUAGAUAUUGGGGAGGAACACCAGUGGCGAAGGCGGCUCACUGGACCGGUACUGACGCUGAGGCGCGAAAGCGUGGGGAGCAAACGGG
rnacentral:rRNA from 1 species